rnacentral:ncRNA from 1 species
UAUCGACAAUAGCAAAUUCGUUGAAAGACGAAGACGCAAAGCUAUGGGUCUAAAGUCUUGUGAACAAGACUAUGAUCGCCAAGCUGCCGAA